GAUGCACGCUGGCGGCGUGCCUAAUACAUGCCAGUCGAGCGAACAGACGAGGAGCUUGCUCCUCUGACGUUAGCGGCGGACGGGUGAGUAACACGUGGAUAACCUACCUAUAAGACUGGGAUAACUUCGGGAAACCGGAGCUAAUACCGGAUAAUAUAUUGAACCGCAUGGUUCAAUAGUGAAAGACGGUUUUGCUGUCACUUAUAGAUGGAUCCGCGCCGCAUUAGCUAGUUGGUAAGGUAACGGCUUACCAAGGCAACGAUGCGUAGCCGACCUGAGAGGGUGAUCGGCCACACUGGAACUGAGACACGGUCCAGACUCCUACGGGAGGCAGCAGUAGGGAAUCUUCCGCAAUGGGCGAAAGCCUGACGGAGCAACGCCGCGUGAGUGAUGAAGGUCUUCGGAUCGUAAAACUCUGUUAUUAGGGAAGAACAAAUGUGUAAGUAACUAUGCACGUCUUGACGGUACCUAAUCAGAAAGCCACGGCUAACUACGUG
rnacentral:rRNA from 1 species